rnacentral:rRNA from 1 species
CCCUUAGAUGUUCUGGGCCGCACGCGCGCUACACUGACGAAGUCAGCGAGCAUGUCCUACGCCGACAGGUGCGGGGAAUCUUGUCAAACUUCGUCGUGAUGGGGAUUGAUUAUUGAAAUUCUUGAUCAUCAACGAGGAAUUCCUAGUAAGCGCAAGUCAGCAGCUUGCGUUGAUUACGUCCCUGCCCUUUGUACACACCGCCCGUCGCACCUACCGAUUGAAUGGUCCGGUGAAGCCUCGGGAUUGUGGCCAGUUCACUUUAUUGGGAGUUGGCUGUGAGAACUUGUCUAAACCUUAUCAUUUAGAGGAAGGUGAAGUCGUAACA